UACGUAGGCAGCGAGCGUUGUUCGGAAUUACUGGGCGUAAAGAGUGUGUAGGCGGUGCUCUAAGUUCGGUGUGAAAUCUCCUGGCUCAACUGGGAGGGUGCGCCGGAAAACUGGAGUGCUUGAGCGUGGGAGAGGAAAAGCGGAAUUCCUGGUGUAGCGGUGAAAAUGCGUAGAUAUCAGGAGGAACACCUGUGGUGUAGACGGCUUUUCUGGACCAUAGCUGACGCUGAGACACGAAAAGCGUGGGUAGCAAACAGGAUAGAUAC
rnacentral:rRNA from 1 species